AGCAGUCGCCGCGGUAAUACGUAGGUGGCGAGCGUUGUCCGGAAUUAUUGGGCGUAAAGGGAGCGCAGGCGGACAUAUAAGUCCAUCUUAAAAGUGCAGGGCUCAACCCCGUGAGGGGAUGGAAACUGUAUGCCUUGAGUGCAGGAGAGGAAAGCGGAAUUCCCAGUGUAGCGGUGAAAUGCGUAGAUAUUGGGAGGAACACCAGUGGCGAAGGCGGCUUUCUGGACUGUAACUGACGCUGAGGCUCGAAAGCCAGGGGAGCGAACGGGAUUAGAUACCCCAGUAGUCCCUGUCUCUUAUACA
rnacentral:rRNA from 1 species